AGGCUUAACUUAGAAUCAUAAGGUCGGCUGGCACACUGAGUGCAGCCUGAACCAGGUUCAAUGACGAACUGUUUUAUCAGGUGCAGUUUCUAAGCCUCUUUUGUAGGGAUGCACUCCUUCAAAGGGGUGGAGGUGCAGUUGAAGGAUAAAACAACAAUAUAGAUUAUUGCUGAUACACAAGUGCAACAAUGCAUUUAUGGUACAUUCGACAGGUUCCUACUGGGCUUUGACAUGAUUUGUGCCAGUGCAGAGGCCUCUCAACAUCGGGGCCAGAGAGAGCGUGCUCAGACCAAUUGGAGGAGCAACAUCAUUGAAAUUCUGUCGGAUUUUCGUUGUGCUCCAACCUUGAAGGCGAGAACACCUGUGAACACUCGGAGUUGGAGCAUGCUGCUCUGAAUGAACCAGUGGAAUGUGUUCCGAGCAGACAAUUUCAGCCUGCCGAAUGUACACCGUACCAUGAAAGUGCUCUACAGUACUUGAAAGUGAUCAGUCAAAUGUACCAUUAGUAUGUCACAUACGUCAGAACAAUGUAAGGACUUCAAACCUAUAGAGGUUAAGAGCAGCAGAGAAAGGGGAAAAACACUUUUCUCGGGUUGCUGUGGAAAAGAAAGCAAACCUCAUUCCAAAACCUAUCACAAUUCUCACGAUCUGAUAUUCGCAUCCCCGAAAAGCAAAGUUUGGUUUCAUGAGUCAUGGUGCUAUGGGUACAACCUAGAAAGUAAACAACAGACAAGUCAAUGGAAGACAUCCGGCUCACGUCAUCCGAAAAUAGCUUGUCAGGUUAAAUCGAAUUGGAAGAUGAUGCUGAUCUGUCUUUUUGACAUUAAAGGGAUCGUACACUCAGAAUUCAUCCCUCAAAACCAAACCUUUGCUUUUUGAAAAAUAGGACACAAGUCCUAUUUCUUUAUUUUUGUACAUAACAAAUGCAGAGACGUUCUCUUAGGGCUUCUGCUGCACUGAGUUGAGUGCUCCUUUUUAAAAAAGAUUGUUAAAUUCCAGCAAUGCCACUCAUUCUAUGCUAUUCCGCAAUAGACUGUGUUCAAACGAAGACCAAGUGCUAGCUGCGCAUGUUGGCACUUGUUUCUUGUGCAUGAAUUCUUCAUGAAAGCCACACCUAUGUUUUCCGCAGCCAGUAGCUCCUCGUGCAAUGAUGCUGCUGCGAUACAACAGAUGCUUAAAGACCAGCUGAGCAAGAGACCAAUGGAAAGGAAAAUGAAGAGGGGCAUCUGGGCUCUGAGUGCGAGCUGGUUUCCAUCUUGAUCUCUGGCUGCACUACACAUGAAGGGCCAACAAGAAUUAUUCAUAACAUCUGAGGACAAACUUUGGAACAUAGUGGAUCGAGAACUGUCAAGGCACUCUGUACCUUUCAAUAGGGCACCAUUACAACAGAACAAUAGCUUCGUCAAAGUGAUCGCAGCAACGGUAAUACUUCCUCGGUCAAGUGCCCCUGCACUGACGGUUACGCUCCGAGAAAGAAGCUGCUACAACAGUAUAUAGCUACGGGAGGCGGAAAAGUGGGUGACGUCGACGGCUGCCUCCUCGGUGUCCUCGUGAGGACAGGAAAGGUGCUUGUUCCCUCCCCCCCAAGUUCUUCGCCAAUAGCGAGGACACGAGCUCGGAGGAAGCAGCAGGGCCCAGCGCUUCCCUCACAGAGACACCAGCAACAAGCGUCUUCGUGAUGUCGAGCCCUGCUGCUGUUGCUGGGCUGAGUGGCCUUACAUAGCCACCACAUACUCAGAUGCCACCUCAGCAGCCGCAGCCCCACCUAGGACUUCCAGCUCCGUAGGCGCCCUGCAGACAGCUGAAGCAGCAGGAGCUGGAAGACACCGUUUGCAGGAAGACUGCCGAGUACGUCCGGCAGGAGCAGUCAGCUGAGUUGAAGGCCCAAGAUGAGGCGACCCUCCUCUAGCAGUUGCUCGAGCAGAACCGACAGCUAUGCGCAAAGCCACAGAUGCAUUUUCUUGCGCAUGGUAUUGAAUAGCAUGUGCCCUUUGUAUUAUGUAAUUGUAUCGACCAGAAACAAGCAUAAAGUGUACUGUAACAAGCAUGUGACGUGCCCAUGGGCAUAAUCUUCGUUAGCCCGCCAGGCUCGGUGGGCAACAUUGGUCACAGCACCAAAUAAACACCGAUGAGCACAGCUGCUUGGCAGUCAGUCAUUGUUCGGCACCACCACGCUGUGGAGCGUCUGCCUAACGGAGGGUGCCUCAAGCCCGUCCUCGUUCACG